rnacentral:rRNA from 1 species
AACGAACGCUGGCGGCAUGCCUAACACAUGCGAGUCGAACGAGAUCUUCGGGUCUAGUGGCGCACGGGUGCGUAACGCGUGGGAAUCUGCCCUUUGGUUCGGAAUAACAGUUGGAAACGACUGCUAAUACCGGAUGAUGACGAAAGUCCAAAGAUUUAUCGCCAGAGGAUGAGCCCGCGUAGGAUUAGCUAGUUGGUGUGGUAAAGGCGCACCAAGGCGACGAUCCUUAGCUGGUCUGAGAGGAUGAUCAGCCACACUGGGACUGAGACACGGCCCAGACUCCUACGGGAGGCAGCAGUGGGGAAUAUUGGACAAUGGGCGAAAGCCUGAUCCAGCAAUGCCGCGUGAGUGAUGAAGGCCUUAGGGUUGUAGAGCUCUUUUACCCGGGAUGAUAAUGACAGUACCGGGAGAAUAAGCUCCGGCUAACUCCGUGCCAGCCGCCGCAGUCA